CACCCCUCUCCAAGAGCCAUGUGACUCAAACAGAGAGAACCAUCCAACCAGGACUCCAGUCACGUUGACAAAGGAUGACAGCGACAGUUCCUCAGAUGAGUCUGAUAAUUUUGAGGUGAUGUCCAUUCCGCAAAAGGAGCCCAGUAAGAACAGCCUUACGUAUACCACAAUUCAAUUCAAUGUUAAAUCACAGUGUGGCGAUUAUGUGAAUCUUCAUGAAAACUCUGAUUAUGUCAAUGUAGACCCAAAAGAAAAGAGAAAUCAAU